UACAGAGGUCUCAAGCGUUGUUCGGAUUCAUUGGGCGUAAAGGGUGUGUAGGUGGCGCCGUAAGUCGGGUGUGAAAUUUCGGAGCUUAACUCCGAAACUGCAUUCGAUACUGCGGUGCUUGAGGACUGGAGAGGAGACUGGAAUUCCUGGUGUAGCGGUGAAAUGCGCAGAUAUCAGGAAGAACACCUAUGGCGAAGGCAGCUCUCUGGGACGGUACUGACGCUGAGACGCGAAAGCGUGGGGAGCGAACAGG
rnacentral:rRNA from 1 species